rnacentral:misc_RNA from 1 species
AAGUCGUAACAAGGUUUCCGUAGGUGAACCUGCGGAAGGAUCAUUAACACGUAUCCAACGUUAAACCCCCCUGUGAACUUUUAUACUUGCUCUCGUGGCUACCGGAAUUGCAAUCCCUGGUAAAUCAUUGUUGAACAGAUUUUGAUUCAGGGACCUCAGUUUGGUAGUUUCGAUCGAGCGAUCGUUGCAAGUGGCCUGGUUUCCCCAAGCAGUCAGUGUCUGAAAGUGUCAUUGAUUGUGUAAGGAUAACGCUUUUCGAUCACUAAGGACCAGGUCGCCGUGCUAUAUUUCACCCCACUACCAAUUUCGCCUCGUAGGAAACUGCUGGGGCAACAAAACGAACAACUGUUAACAAGGAUAUCUUGGUUCUC